UACAGAGGUCUCGAGCGUUAGGCGGAAUCACUGGGCUUAAAGCGUGUGUAGGCGGAUCGUUAAGUACCUUGUGAAAUCCCACGGCUUAACCGUGGAACUGCUUGGUAUACUGGCGGUCUUGAGCCAGCUAGGGGCUACCGGAACAAAUGGUGGAGCGGUGAAAUGCGUAGAUAUCGGGAGGAACACCUGUGGCGAAAGCGGCUCACUGGACCACAACUGACGCUGAGGCGCGAAAGCUAGGGGAGCAAACAGG
rnacentral:rRNA from 1 species